rnacentral:rRNA from 1 species
CCUACGGGUGGCUGCAGUGAGGAAUAUUGGUCAAUGGACGAGAGUCUGAACCAGCCAAGUCGCGUGAAGGAUGACUGCCCUAUGGGUUGUAAACUUCUUUUAUAUGGGAAUAAAAUGUUCCACGUGUGGGAUUUUGUAUGUACCAUAUGAAUAAGGAUCGGCCAACUCCGUGCCAGCAGCCGCGGUAAUACGGAGGAUUCGAGCGUUAUCCGGAUUUAUUGGGUUUAAAGGGAGCGUAGGUGGGUUGUUAAGUCAGUUGUGAAAGUUUGCGGCUCAACCGUAAAAUUGCAGUUGAAACUGGCAGUCGUGAGUACAUGAGAGGUGGGCGGAAUUCGUGGUGUAGCGGUGAAAUGCGUAGAUAUCACGAAGAACUCCGAUUGCGAAGGCAGUUCACUGGACUGCAACUGACACUGAGGCUCGAAAGUGUGGGUAUCAAACAGGAUUAGAUACCCCUGUAGUC